AGAGUUUGAUCAUGGCUCAGAGCGAACGCUGGCGGCAGGCCUAACACAUGCAAGUCGAACGAACUCUUCGGAGUUAGUGGCGGACAGGUGAGUAACACGUGGGAACGUGCCUUUAGGUUCGGAAUAACUCAGGGAAACUUGUGCUAAUACCGAAUGUGCCCUUCGGGGGAAAGAUUUAUCGCCUUUAGAGCGGCCCGCGUCUGAUUAGCUAGUUGGUGAGGUAAAGGCUCACCAAGGCGACGAUCAGUAGCUGGUCUGAGAGGAUGAUCAGCCACAUUGGGACUGAGACACGGCCCAAACUCCUACGGGAGGCAGCAGUGGGAAUCUUGCGCAAUGGGCGAAAGCCUAACGCAGCCAUGCCGCGUGAAUGAUGAAGGUCUUAGGAUUGUAAAAUUCUUUCACCGGGGACGAUAAUGACGGUACCCGGAGAAGAAGCCUCGGCUAACUUCGUG
rnacentral:rRNA from 1 species